GACGAACGCUGGCGGCGUGCUUAACACAUGCAAGUCGAACGAAGAGCGAUGGAAGCUUGCUUCUCUCAAUCUUAGUGGCGAACGGGUGAGUAACGCGUAAUCAACCUGCCCUUCAGAGGGGGACAACAGUUGGAAACGACUGCUAAUACCGCAUACGAUCUAACCUCGGCAUCGAGGAUGGAUGAAAGGUGGCCUCUAUUUAUAAGCUAUCACUGAAGGAGGGGAUUGCGUCUGAUUAGCUAGUUGGAGGGGUAACGGCCCACCAAGGCGAUGAUCAGUAGCCGGUCUGAGAGGAUGAACGGCCACAUUGGGACUGAGACACGGCCCAGACUCCUACGGGAGGCAGCAGUGGGGAAUCUUCCGCAAUGGACGAAAGUCUGACGGAGCAACGCCGCGUGAGUGAUGACGGCCCUCGGGUUGUAAAGCUCUGUUAAUCGGGACGAAAGGCCUUCUUGCGAAUAGUUAGAAGGAUUGACGGUACCGGAAUAGAAAGCCACGGCUAACUACGUG
rnacentral:rRNA from 1 species